UUGUAAACUUUAAUAUAGGAUAAUUUAUCCUUUUUUCUUCUAUUAGAAAACUUUUCUUACUCCAAGGCCACAACAACCUUUCCCUAUAUUUCUCUCUAAAAACUUUACUGUCUGCCUUUCUCAAUUAGAUCUGAAGUCAACCAGAAAUUGAUUUUUUUGGUAUGAUGUUCAGCUACUUUUGUUUCCUACAUGAACAGCCCUUUCCGUCUGUACCACAAAGGUGCCUUGUUUCAAGUCAAAUACCUGUGAGGGGUCUGUUUGCAGCCAUCUUGUUCUUUCAGUCCCUUUGUCUGUUCUGAUCUUUCUGCAAUAAAAUGAGUUUCUCUUUAUUGUCCCUCUGUUCCUUAUCCAUUGGAGAAUAACUCAAAAAUUUGUGGGAAAUGAAUAUUAUUUCUUCCACCAAAAUAGACACCUUUUAAUUCCAUCCUACCAUGAACUAUUUGGAAUAACCUUUUUGGCUGUAACUUUUUGGAAUAUACUGUGUUAUGUACAGAGGAAUUUUCUGGAACUGAGAAGGAAUGACAUUGAAUCUGGGUUUUGUUGGUGGUACUUUGCAUGUUCUGAAAAAACACAGGUAUUUUGGAUUUGAAGGAUGCUGCUUAUUUUAUUUCCUAAGUGUCUGGUGGCAGGUCAGAAUAGAAUAGUAGUGGGGAGAAGAGCUGUGUGUCUGCAUGGUGAUGCAUGGGUACAUGUGUGCAGGAGCAGAGAGGAGGAGGGCUGCAUGUGUGUGUGAGUGGUGAUGCAUGGGUACAUGUGUGCAGGAGCAGAGAGGAGGAGGG
rnacentral:lncRNA from 1 species